AGAGUUAAAAAGUACGUGAAAUUGUUAAAAGGGAAACGCUUGGAACCAGUAUUGCCUCCAGGUAAUCAAGUACACGUCCUGAAAGGGUCGCGUGUGGUGCACUUGCCUGUAGGCAGGCCAACAUCAGUUUGGUUUGGGGUAAAAAGCCAGAGAAAGGUAGCUUGGAUUCGUCCGAGUGUUAUAGUCUCUGGUCAUGCCUUGGACUGGACUGAGGUCUGCAGCGUUAUUUGGGUACCCGGUUGCCUCUUGAACCAUUCUCUUCAGACAGCAUGCUGACUUUAGAGAUGUCUAAGGAGCCCAGUCGGCUUGCUACACCAGCGCUUAGGAUGUUGGCGAAAUGGUUCCAAACGACC
rnacentral:ncRNA from 2 species